rnacentral:tRNA from 1 species
GGGAAUGUGGCUUAGUGGUAGAGUGCUUGCUUAGUAUGCAUGAAUCCUUGGUUCAAUUCCUCAGUACCA